rnacentral:rRNA from 1 species
CAGCAGCCGCGGUAAUACGAGGGGGGCAAGCGUUGUUCGGAAUUAUUGGGCGUAAAGGGUGCGUAGGCGGUUCAGCAAGUCUCGUGUGAAAUCUUCGGGCUCAACCCGAAGUCUGCACGGGAAACUACUGGGCUUGAGUAAUGGAGAGGUGAGUGGAAUUUCCGGUGUAGCGGUGAAAUGCGUAGAUAUCGGAAGGAACACCUGUGGCGAAAGCGGCUCACUGGACAUUUACUGACGCUGAUGCACGAAAGCUAGGGGAGCAAACAGGAUUAGAUACCCCCGUAGUCCCUGUCUCUUAUAC